AAUGCGGCAGGGAGGACAAGAGAUAGACAUAGAGCUUCAGUGGAAGGUGGCAUUUCCUGAAGGAAGCACUCCAUCUUCGGUGCCAGCCCCAGCUGCAGGAAGGAAGGCAAUGCCAGACACGGGCACAGGCACAGCAGACUGGGAUGCUGGGACAGUUCCUCCAUUAGCCUGGCGCUCUGAAGUUGUGAAGCCCUCCGAGCAUUCUGCAGAUGUGUCUGCAGGGACGACUUCACCAACUCCUACCUUGGAUGCUGCACAAAAGCCCACCUCCUAUGGCAGGGGU